GCGAGCGUAACUCAGUUGGUAGAGUGCCAGCUUCCCAAGCUGGUUGUCGCGAGUUCGAGCCUCGUCGCUCGCU
rnacentral:tRNA from 2 species